rnacentral:rRNA from 1 species
GAUGAACGCUGGCGGCGUGCCUAAUACAUGCAAGUCGAGCGAACGGACGAGAAGCUUGCUUCUCUGAUGUUAGCGGCGGACGGGUGAGUAACACGUGGAUAACCUACCUAUAAGGCUGGGAUAACUUCGGGAAACCGGAGCUAAUACCGGAUAAUAUUUUGAACCGCAUGGUUCAAAAGUGAAAGACGGUCUUGCUGUCACUUAUAGAUGGAUCCGCGCUGCAUUAGCUAGUUGGUAGGGUAACGGCUUACCAAGGCAACGAUGCAUAGCCGACCUGAGAGGGUGAUCGGCCACACUGGAACUGAGACACGGUCCAGACUCCUACGGGAGGCAGCAGUAGGGAAUCUUCCGCAAUGGGCGAAAGCCUGACGGAGCAACGCCGCGUGAGUGAUGAAGGUCUUCGGAUCGUAAAACUCUGUUAUUAGGGAAGAACAUAUGUGUAAGUAACUGUGCACAUCUUGACGGUACCUAAUCAGAAAGCCACGGCUAACUACGUG